AAAAACUCAUCUUCUAAAUAUUGCUCUGCCUUCUCUCUAAAAUAUCACCCUGUUCAACAGUUCAAUUUUUGAAUAGGUGCUGCUCAAACGUUCACCGCAUCAAGGGCUCCGUAACGGACCGAACGGGUUCUUGUUCCAACCGGAUAAAGGAGACUUAAAAACGCACAUCCCUGAUCAUAGAGCAGCUCUGGCCUGGUCCAGUACGUUGUGACUAGUCAUAUGUGCUAGCACCGAAGGAUGUAUGUAUGGUGUUCUUGAGUGGUUGUAAAGCAUAUGAAUGUGAACUAUGAUGUAAUUGAGUAUGAAGUGGACAUCUCAGGUUGAGAUGAUUGAAAGUGAUGUGUGGGGUGUUGUGGUUGUUCUGUAUAACUGUAUGGAGCUUUGAACUGAUAUGUCUAUCCCUACACUCGAAGCAUUGUUCAUGCUCAAAUAGAG
rnacentral:sRNA from 1 species